rfam:Theobroma cacao cultivar Matina 1-6 chromosome 3, whole genome shotgun sequence.
AGACCAUGAUGAGGACAACACCGAAGUCAUUCUUUGUAUCUUUCCCAUGCAUCGUACAAUGAUUCAGAAUCUUGCUGAAUGAAUGAUGUGAUAUCAUUCCUCUUUUU